rnacentral:sRNA from 1 species
CCCGUUGCUACCGGAAUGCCCCUUCAGGUUAGCGAUUACAGCUGGCAGCAGACGAAGACUGCCGUCUUUCUGUCUCUGCCCCUCAAAGGCGUGUGCGUCAGAGACACGGACGUGUUCUGCACGGAAAACUAUCUGAAGGUCAACUUUCCUCCAUUUUUAUUUGAGGCAUUUCUUUAUGCUCCCAUAGACGAUGAGAGCAGCAAAGCAAAGAUUGGGAAUGACACCAUUGUCUUCACCUUGUAUAAAAAAGAAGCGGCCAUGUGGGAGACCCUUUCUGUGACGGGUGUUGACAAAGAGAUGAUGCAAAGAAUUAGAGAAAAAUCUAUUUUACAAGCACAAGAGAGAGCAAAAGAAGCUACAGAAGCAAAAGCUGCAGCAAAGCGGGAAGAUCAAAAAUAUGCACUAAGUGUCAUGAUGAAGGUAAGUUGUAGAAUGACAGGCAAGUCCUCUAAAGAGAUAAUAGUAGACUAUGUGAGGAUAGUGAGUUCCAGCUGCUGGACUUCCUCAGCAUUUUCUUCAUACUU